rnacentral:tRNA from 1 species
UGUGGGGUGGAGCAGUGGUAGCUUGUUGGGCUCAUAACCCAAAGGUCGCAGGUUCAAGUCCUGCCCCCGCAA